GCAUUAAUGGGGUAGUGGUAACCUGGGUCGUUGCCAUUCGUAGACUGGAAUGUGCAUACUCGACCCGCCGGGGGUUCGAUUCCCCCUUAAUGCA